UUGGACACGUAUAAAAUGACAUUGUAUAUAAUUAUACUUUCGAUCGUUACUUGGUUACCAAAAUAAUUGUGUACACCUAAACCUUAUAAUAAAUCAACUCCAACAAAACAGAUAACAAGCUCAUCACUCAUCAGUCGCCAUAGUGUUAAGAGUUAGCUCUACAAAAUAUAUUAACUACAAUAAUAAAUCAACUUUGUACAAACCAAAGAUGAGGUAAUAAUGAAGGAUACUUUAUCACUACGCUUUAGAUUCUAAAUGUAGAACCUAUUGGUUUUACUAAAAUAUGUUUUUAUUUUUAUUUUUUCCUCGAAAAAUACUUUUUUGGGUGAUAAAAAUUCUUCAAAACGUUUACUUCUACCUUAAAAGAUGCAAAUUGGCCACUCGAUGAUAACUUCUAAAUUUUAAACACUUUUAUAGAUUUCUAAAAGUUUUCAUAAGCUUUUUUGGAAACUAAAAAUGCUCAAAAACAUUGAUAUAUCUACUUUAAAAUGUACGGGUUUUUUUAUUUCCCUUAAAAAUCUAACAAAUAUCACAGUCGUAUAAACAGCAAUGAAAUGUUCGUUUAUUAAUUAUUGUACAUAUUAUUAUUAUGACAUUUUUAACGGCUAUGCAGUAUAUUUCGAGUAAAAUGCGUUAUCAUCGUUUCCGAUUCCCCAGAUAUUGGCAUGUAUUGUAUUUUAAAUGCUGCAUACAGUAUGUUUUAAAAAGAUCAAAUUUAAUAAUAAUUACUGUGUGAGUAUAAGGAUUUGGCGUUAUUUGGUUUUUUAGUAAAUUGUAUUAUGAUGUAUCAAAAUUUCUGAUACCUCUGCAAUACUCUGUAUACACAACUAGCAAAAUAUCGAGAACGCCACCACAUAACACACAAACACGCAUAUCGAUCGAAUAGAACAAUAAUAGUGUCAAGCAAGUUUUUUCAAACUUGGACAAUGCGAAUUCUGAUUUUUAAUGAGUUUUUCGUCAUUGUCUAGUUCAUUAGUUGAUAGUACUGAACUAUAGCAAAUAAUUGAAACGGGUAAUACUAGCGCCCGAUGCACGUAUGAUUUUGUACGUAAAAAAUGUUUAAUGAAUUGUAAUAAUCCAAGAUUCGCGUAAAAUAUCCGAAAAUAAUUCAUUAGAACAGUAUUUAUGCCAAAAAUAUAUAAAUUCGAGAUCUUUUCAGGAAUGUUUCAAAAUAGUUCAGUUAGAUUAAAAAUUGGACAAGAUAACAAAUCCGUAUGUAUAGGAUAUAGUCCAUAUAUUACUCCAUGGGUCGAUGUCGUGCCCUCUAUCAAUGACCUCAACGUUUACUCGCUGGAAAGCUCUAAACAAGUACUCUGCAUCUAGUGGUUCAUAUAUCACCACGAUGAUCCUUCAAAAUUUGUUUUACCCCGUUAAUACGCAUGAUAUCAUUAAAAUAAAAUUUUAUUUUCCUAAAUGCUGAUUUAAAACUUUUAGACAGUCUAAUUAAACUUAUUAUUUAUAUAAUUUGUGUUUGGAUUUGUUCAUUUUGGAUAAUGUCGAGUUUUACAUCGAAAUUCACGAUAAUUAGCGUAUCAAUAAAACGAUUGACGGACUUGUCCAAACUGGAGUCGACCGAUUACAAUAAUCUGGGCUCACCGACGCUUCACCCUCUGGCACAUCGUCGCCGUGACACUCGAACGGAUAAUGUUCAUCACGUACUUUGCUAUGGCCGCCAUCGUAAUGCGAUCCUCGGUCUAGAUCACGGCCACAUUCCCCCCCC
rnacentral:lncRNA from 1 species